rnacentral:rRNA from 1 species
UCAGGAUGAACGCUAGCUACAGGCUUAACACAUGCAAGUCGAGGGCAGCAGUUGGAGUAGCAAUACUCAGAUGGCGACCGGCGCACGGGUGAGUAACACGUAUCCAACCUGCCGCUUACUCGGGGAUAGCCUUUCGAAAGAAAGAUUAAUACCCGAUGGUAUAAAGAGUUCGCAUGUUCUCUUUAUUAAAGAAUUUCGGUAAGCGAUGGGGAUGCGUUCCAUUAGAUUGUUGGCGGGGUAACGGCCCACCAAGUCUACGAUGGAUAGGGGUUCUGAGAGGAAGGUCCCCCACAUUGGAACUGAGACACGGUCCAAACUCCUACGGGAGGCAGCAGUGAGGAAUAUUGGUCAAUGGACGAGAGUCUGAACCAGCCAAAAGUAGCGUGAAGGAUGACUGCCCUAUGGGUUGUAAACUUCUUUUAUAAGGGAAUAAAGUGAGGGACGUGUCCCUUUUUGUAUGUACCUUAUGAAUAAGGAUCGGCUAACUCCGUGCCAGCCGCCGC